UCUUGUCCCGCGGAUCCAAGAUGGCGACGUAUCCACCGCGGAGGCUGCUGGGAGCAAGACCUUUACCCCUUGACCCCCGCCGUGACCCCCGUCGCUCUGGCUUCCCUUAAGGCAGCAGCGAAAGGUGGGAGCAGCGAUUGUGGACCAGACACAGGGCUGGGGAUCCUGCAUCCUCAGGUGCCGUGUCCGCACUUCGAGACCCCGCAACACGUCACCGUCGCCUCCUGAGAAGAUAUUACCAAGGACCGACAUGAAUGGCUAGAUGGAAGAGAAACUAUAAACAAGUGGUGGUGAAGAGGAGUUGCAUGACAGUUCUUCCAGAGGAUGGAAAGCACACCAGAAGUCUCCGAGGCAAAGUGUAGAACAAGCUUUAUUCUUAGCACCAAUGGAAAAAAAAAUGGCUCACCUGACUAAUGGCUUUUGUGGAAAAGAACUAAUCAUCACCUACUUAGUUCACCCAAAUUAGAGAAUUCAAUUACAAAGGGUAAAACAAAAUUGCAAAAUUUUAAGAACCUUAUACUUGUAUCAGUGUUAGACAAAAGUAUGAGAAGAUUCUGUUUGUCUUUGGUGUUCCUGACCUCUUUUUAACUUUUUUUUUUUUUUUUUGUACCAAGGAUCAAACUCAGGCCCUUGAGCUUGUGAGACAGGCAGCACCACCCCUGAGCUAAAUCCCAGUCCCCCUGACCUCUCUUUUAUCUGUGCUUUUCCCAUCAUCUUGUGUACACAGGGCUUUCAAAUGCAUUUCACUCUCUGUUUUAGAGAAGGUCUCUUAAAUUAACUCUAAUGUAUACAUAUGUCACCUCCCUCAAGGGUAUGAACUUGUUGACAAUGUCUAAAGAGCAAAGGCAUAGCACCAUGGAAAUUGUCAAUUUAAAUAACUCAUGAAUCUGUAUAGUUUUUAAAGUCCAAUUUUUCUUUUUGAGAAAUAGUAUUUCAAUUUCCUUUCAUGAAAUUACCAUUUCACCAUGCCAUGCACACUUGAUGAGACCAUAAAUCCUAGUAUCUGCCUCCACUGGUCUUGGAGUAAACAGAUGACUCAGGGUAGGUCAAUCUGACAUUUUGAUUUUUUGACUCUUUAAGGCAUUGAUGCAAGGACAAAGGUAAAACAGUUGUCUCCUUAUGUUCCACAACGGCUGUCUGUUAAAACUUUGAAUAGUUCUUAGCAAAAUCAUCUCAUUUUUAUUUUGUCUGAUCAUGGCUUUGCUUUACUUCUUUCUAUGGGCACCCAGUGAUCUUCCAUCACAUUCCUUUUUGCUUAGAUUAGCCAGGACAGAUUUUGUUGCUUAUAAAUCUCAUGUCAGAUUCAAAGUAUUCGGAGAUGUGAUGGCUU